GAUGAACGCUGGCGGCGUGCCUAAUACUUGCAAGUCGAGCGAAAAGACGAGGAGAUUGCUCUUCUGACGUUAGCGGCGGACGGGCGAGUAACACGUGGAUAACCUACUUCUAAGACUGGGAUAACUUCGGGAAAACGGAGCCACUACUGGCUAACAUGAUGAACCGCAUGGUUCAACAGUGAUAGACGGUCUUGCUGUCACUUAUAGAUGGAUCCGGGCUGCAUUAGCUAGUUGGUAAGGUAACGGCUUACCAAGGAAACGAUGCGUAGCCGACCUGAGAGAGUGAUCGGCCACACGGGAACGGAGACACGGUCCGAACUCCUACGGGAGGCAGCAGGGGGGAAACUGCCGCAAUGGGCGAAAGCCGGACGGGGCAACGCCGCUUGGUUGAAGAAGGUCUUCGGUUCUUAAGACUCUUUUAUGAGAGAGAAACGAAGGUGGAAGUAACUAUGCACGUCUGGACGGAACCUAAGCAGAAGGCCACGGCAAACUACUG
rnacentral:rRNA from 1 species